rnacentral:misc_RNA from 1 species
GGCGAGGAAGCUUAACCCAACUAAAACGACGACGUUUAGAAUGGCAGUGAAUUGCAGACACCGGUUGAACCCGAAACUGGAUCCGCUUUAUUUCGGGAAUGCAAUUCAAAGCAUACCCACCUACGCAUCAACCGGUGACGUUUUGUCUCGGGAUCUACGCUGGUGUGCCGAGCAAUUAAAUGAAAACGUGAUAGCUCACAACGACGCAACGGUACGUCGUUUUGUGGAGAACUGGGAGGAGAAUCCACGGUGUUUUCCGCUGGGAAACUUUGAUGGUGCAUCAA